rfam:Ophiophagus hannah scaffold1599.1, whole genome shotgun sequence.
AUCGCUUCUCGGCCUUUUGGCUAAGAUCGAGUGUAGUGUCUGUUCUUAUCAGUUUAAUAUCUGAUAUGAUCAUUUCUAUAUCUAUAUUUUUUGCAGGAAGGACCAGAAUGAGUGGAUCCAAU